UUUUUUUUUUUUUUUUUUUUUUUUGAGACAGAGUUUCACUCUUGUUGCCCAAGCUGGAGAGCAAUGGUACAAUCUCGGCUCCCCACAACCUCCACCUCCUGGGUUCAAGCUAUUCUCCUGCCUCAGCAUCCCAAGUAGCUGGGAUGACAGGCAUGCACCACCAUGCCCGGCUAAUUUUGUACUUUUAGUAGAGACAGGGUUUCUCCAUGUUGGUCAGGCUGGUCUCAAAGUCCCUACCUCAGGUGAUUUGACCGCCUGGGCCUCCCAAACUGCUGGGAUUAUAGGUGUGAGCCACCAUGCCCAGCCCUGAUUUUAAUUUGUAUUUCUUUGAUUAGUAAUCCUAUCUUUUCAUUCUUUACUGGCUAAGAGUUUAAAUCCCUGCUCUGCUACCACUCUGUAUGACUUUGGAGAGACAACUUGACUUCCAUGUGCCUCAAUUUCCUCAUCUGUGAAGUUCCUCUCUAAAGAAAUUGACCAGCUUCAAAGACGUAUAGACUCUGACAUAGUGGGACGGGCUCUAAUGAAAUUCCUGUACCCUUACUCACAAAUCACAAAGCUUCUAGUCAGUAUUUUAGUACCUCCCAUUCUUGUUCAAUAAAUUACCACAUGCUGGACAUGGCCGGCUAGGGGCUGUGGCUCCAGAGAUGCUUGAGGGAAGGUCAGUCACCACCUGUCCAUCUGCUCCCAGCAUUCAAAAUUUGGUUCACUUCUCUCUCCUGCUGCUUUCUCCUCUUCCAUUCUUUUGUCCUGUGGCUGCAUGAGAUACACACAUUAGCAGGGCUCCAGAAGGAACAGAGAUGAAUGCAAAUGUUCCACCCACUAUGUCUAACCAGAGGCCAGAGUGACGUUCUAAGGGACUGAGUGUGACUCUGUUCCUCUAAUGCUCAGCCCCUUCCGUGGUUCUCUGUGCCUUAGUGUCAAGUCCAAACUCCUCAGCACAGCCUGCCCAGGCCCCUCCAACACUCCCCCCUCAUCUCUUGCCACCACCACCCUCCUAGGGUUCAGUCACUCCAAACUCCACUGCCCACUUCUGCACGCCCCUCCCGCCCACAUUCCUCCCCACUUUUGCUCAUGCUGUCCUCCGUAAGUGGAUGCUCAAGGCGCAGCUCGCAAGCCACCUCUUCUGGGAGCCCAAAGGAUUGGAUUGUCUUUCUCUUUUCUCCCACAGCACUUUGUCAUAUAUGUGCUAUAGCCCUGUAUGAUGAUGAUUGUCACAUGCACUCCAGGCAGGGACGUGGGACUCUCUUGGACAUUGCCUGGGCCUGUAGUGGGCUCUCAGUAGAUGUCAACUCAGUGGAUGGGUAGGCAGGGAAUAAACAGUAAAGAGAGUGACAUUGUUUUAGCAUUCUGUGACUCCCACCACCGGUUGGUUGGAUGGCUGGUUAACAUUAGCUAGAAAUGUUUAGGAUAGUAAUUUUAAACCUUAGUCCACUUACCAGUAGCCUAAGCAAUAUAAAUGGCUACAGACCCUCACAGAGGUGUUGCCAUGCACCUUGGCUCCGUCCGAAGGCCAGCAACACAGUAACAGGGAAUGCAGAGACGUGGAAGGGCUGUUUCCAGAGACAGUGUGGAGUGGUGGAUCCAGACACCACCUGAUGCCAGGGAAACACUUGGGCCUUUUCUUGGUACCAGUGAAUGGGUGCCCUGCUGGGAACAUAAACACAAUCUUCUGGACUUCCAAACCAAACAUAACAGAGAUAGGGUGGCAGAGGAUGAACUUGGACAGGCCACAAGCAGGCAGGCCCUGGCUUCCUUAGACUUCCCCUGUGACUGUCAAAUGUAUUAAAAUACAUGAUAUGUUCUCUUCUUGCAGGAAGGUCAACUUGGGAAGUGGACCAGGGUCCCAGUAAGGAGCUGGGCUUCUCUGUAGAUGCUGUAUGGCCUAAUUCCCCCAGUCCAGCAGUGCUUCUCCAGGUGGCCAGGUGCUCUUGGACUGGGCUAGAGGGCCUGCAGCAAAAAUUAGAACUUAGUUGUUAUUAUUCCAGGCCCCAUUCAGACUUCCCCUAAUGACUCAACCAACUGCAGGAGAGCUGAACUGAAGGGUCUGAAAUUCUGGUUGGCUUUGAAAGUUAGUGGCUAAGGGGAAAAUUGAAUCCAGGGGAAAUGUCCCCCUUGAAAGCCCCUUAGGAAAGUAAGCUAAAUGCAUCAAUGACACGAGUUCCCUGUAAGUCACAGACUUCCACACUCCGUAUGAAGAAGCCUGGGCUCACAUUCAGGCUCUGCCACUCACAUGACUUGUGAGAGUUUCUCAUCAAAUGGGAAUAAUAAUGUCUACUUCCUAUGAUUAUUCUAGAGACUAAAUUUAGAUAAAAUAUGGGGAAAUAUAGUACAUAAUAAGCACUCAAGGCCGGGAGUGGUGGCUCACGCCUGUAAUCCCAACACUUUGGAGGCCAAGGGGAGUGCAUUGCUUAAGCCCAGGAGUUUGAGCCUAGCCUGGGCAACAUGGUAAGGCCCCUGCCCCAAAAUACAUAAAAGAAGUAGGGGGCCAGGUGCAGUGGCUCACGCUUGUAAUCCCACCUCUAACUGUAUUUUUAUACCCAUUAACCAACUUCAACUCAUCUUUCCCUCUCCUUUCCCUUUGCAGCCUCUGAUAACCAACAUUCUACUCUCUACCUCUUUUUUAGCUCCUGCAUGUGAGUGAGAACAUGUGGUAUUUGUCUUCCUGUACCUGGUUUAUUUCACUUAGUAUAAUGACCUCCCAUCCAUCCUUGUUGCUGCAAAUGACAAGAUUUCUUUUUUUUUUUUUUUUUUGAGGCGGAGUCUCGCUCUGUCGCCCAGGCUGGAGUGCAGUGGCGCGAUCUCGGCUCACUGCAAGCUCCGCCUCCCGGGUUCCCGCCAUUCUCCUGCCUCAGCCUCCCGAGUAGCUGGGACUACAGGCGCCCGCCACCUCGCCCAGCUAGUUUUUUGUACUUUUUAGUAGAGACGGGGUUUCACCGUGUUAGCCAGGAUGGUCUCGAUCUCCUGACCUCGUGAUCCGCCCGUCUCGGCCUCCCAAAGUGCUGGGAUUACAGGCUUGAGCCACCGCGCCCGGCCAGACAAGAUUUCAUACUUGGCUUGGCGCAGUGGCUCACAUCUGUAAUGCCAGCACUUUGGGAGGCCAAGGCGGGCAGAUCAUGAGGUCAGGAAAUCAAGACCGUACUGGCUAACAUGGUGAAACCUCGUCUCUACUAAAAAUACAGAAAAAAAAAAAAAAAAAAAAAAA
ensembl:lncRNA